ACACGAGCGGCGAACGGCUGAGUAACACGUUGGAACCUGCCCCUUAGUGAGGGAUAACUCCGAGAAAUCGGAGCUAAUACCGCAUGUGCCUGCAAAGGUAAAGCUUCGGCGCUAAGGGAGGGGCCUGCGGCGUAUCAGGUUGUUGGUGGGGUAAUAGCUCACCAAGCCAUUGACGCGUAGCUGGUGUGAGAGCAUGACCAGCCAGAAUGGGACUGAGACACGGCCCAUACUCCUACGGGAGGCAGCAGUGAGGAAUCUUCCGCAAUGGGCGAAAGCCUGACGGAGCCAUACCGCGUGAAGGAUGACACCUUUCGGGGCGUAAACUUCUUUUCUGCAGGAAUACAUUUUGAAGGUACUGCAGGAAUAAGGGUCGGCUAACUACGUGCCAGCAGCCGCGGUAAUACGUAGGACCCAAGCGUUAUCCGAAAUUACUGGGCGUAAAGCGAUCGAAGGUGGACAAAUAAGUCUGGUGUAAAAUUUUGCGGCUCAACCGCAAAAGCGUACUGGAAACUAUUUAUCUAGAGGAAGACAGAGGUAGAUGGAAUUCUCAUUGUAGGGGUAAAAUCCGUUGAUAAUGAGAGGAACACCAAAAGCGAAGGCAGUCUACUGGGUCUUUCCUGACACUGUGCGAUCGAAAGCGUGGGGAGCAAAAGGGAUUAGAUACCCCUGUAGUCCACGCCGUAAACGAUGGAUACUCGGUGUAGGUAGUUUUAAUCGCUAUCUGUGCCCUAGCAAACGCGUUAAGUAUCCCGCCUGAGUAGUACGACCGCGAGGUUAAAACUCAAAGGAAUAGACGGGGAUCCACACAAGCGGUGGAGCAUGUGGUUUAAUUCGACAAUAAGCGA
rnacentral:rRNA from 1 species